AAAUAGACAUUGAUGAGGAAAAGUAAUUGAUUGUCGUUGAGUCAGCGAGUUUCGUUAGGUGCAAGGAAACAUCACGACAAUUUUUGAAAAUCACCUUGGAGUUAUGACGCGAAGCUUAAAGUAACCGUCAUUGGUAGCAACCAUUAUUUUGCUAGCGUAUCGAAUAAUUCUGAUUAUUAUUCCGUACGUGAUGAGUUAUGUUAUGUGAGUAACAUAAAAAUUUGGGUGGUAACGCGAUUAAUCGUCCCGUAA
rnacentral:ncRNA from 1 species